AUUGAACGCUGGCGGCAUGCUUUACACAUGCAAGUCGAACGGUAACAGGGAGCUUGCUCCGCUGACGAGUGGCGAACGGGUGAGUAAUGCAUCGGAACGUACCGUGUAAUGGGGGAUAACGUAGCGAAAGUUACGCUAAUACCGCAUACGCCCUGAGGGGGAAAGCGGGGGAUCGUAAGACCUCGCGUUAUACGAGCGGCCGAUGUCGGAUUAGCUAGUUGGUGGGGUAAAGGCCUACCAAGGCGACGAUCCGUAGCGGGUCUGAGAGGAUGAUCCGCCACACUGGGACUGAGACACGGCCCAGACUCCUACGGGAGGCAGCAGUGGGGAAUUUUGGACAAUGGGGGCAACCCUGAUCCAGCCAUGCCGCGUGAGUGAAGAAGGCCUUC
rnacentral:rRNA from 1 species